rnacentral:tRNA from 1 species
AGCCCUGGGGUGUUACAUAUGGGACUGCAACUCCCAAGAAGCAGAAUAAUUUCUGCCGGGGCU